GUACUCGCUUGGUCUGCACAUAUACUAAAGUUGGAACGAUACAGAGAAGAUUAGCAUGGCCCCUGAACAAGGAAAACAUAAAAUUAAAAGAAUAUAACAUCUUU
ensembl:snRNA U6 U6 spliceosomal RNA